rnacentral:rRNA from 1 species
UACGUAGGUGGCGAGCGUUGUCCGGAUUCACUGGGCGUAAAGCGCGCGCAGGCGGUCCGGUAAGUCUCCGGUGAAAUCGCCCGGCUCAACUGGGCGGGUGCCGGGGAGACUGGCGGACUUGAGGAGCCUAGAGGCCGGUGGAACUCCCGGUGUAGUGGUGAAAUGCGUAGAGAUCGGGAAGAACACCAGUGGCGAAGGCGGCCGGCUGGGGGUGUCCUGACGCUGAGGCGCGAGAGCGUGGGGAGCAAACCGG